rnacentral:rRNA from 1 species
GACGAACGCUGGCGGCGUGCUUAACGCAUGCAAGUCGAACGGAAAGGCCCUGCUUUUGUGGGGUGCUCGAGUGGCGAACGGGUGAGUAACACGUGAGUAACCUGCCCUUGACUUUGGGAUAACUUCAGGAAACUGGGGCUAAUACCGGAUAGGAGCUCCUGCUGCAUGGUGGGGGUUGGAAAGUUUCGGCGGUUGGGGAUGGACUCGCGGCUUAUCAGCUUGUUGGUGGGGUUGUGGCUUACCAAGGCUUUGACGGGUAGCCGGCCUGAGAGGGUGACCGGCCACAUUGGGACUGAGAUACGGCCCAGACUCCUACGGGAGGCAGCAGUGGGGAAUAUUGCACAAUGGGCGGAAGCCUGAUGCAGCAACGCCGCGUGCGGGAUGACGGCCUUCGGGUUGUAAACCGCUUUCGCCUGUGACGAAGCGUGAGUGACGGUAAUGGGUAAAGAAGCACCGGCUAACUACGUG